rnacentral:rRNA from 1 species
GAUGAACGCUGGCGGCGUGCCUAAUACAUGCAAGUCGAGCGAACAGACGAGGAGCUUGCUCCUCUGACGUUAGCGGCGGACGGGUGAGUAACACGUGGAUAACCUACCUAUAAGACUGGGAUAACUUCGGGAAACCGGAGCUAAUACCGGAUAAUAUAUUGAACCGCAUGGUUCAAUAGUGAAAGACGGUUUUGCUGUCACUUAUAGAUGGAUCCGCGCCGCAUUAGCUAGUUGGUAAGGUAACGGCUUACCAAGGCAACGAUGCGUAGCCGACCUGAGAGGGGGCUCGGCCACCCUAGAACGGAGACCCGGCCCAGCCCCCUACGGGGGCCAGCAGUAGGAAAUCGUCCGAAAUGGGCAAAAGCUUGGCGGCGCACCCCCGCGUGGGUGAUGAAGUUCUUCGGUUCGAAAACUUCUUUUAUUAGGGAAAAACAAAUGUGUAAGAAACUUUCCACUUUUAGACGGUCCCAAAACAAAAAGCCGCGUCUAUCUGCG